AAUUGUAAUUGUAAUUGUAAUUGUAAUUGCUCAAUCCACACCCAGGCCGACAAGUGUCAGCCCAUCUGCUCGUAGGCAGAUGUGGACCUACUAAGCCUCCCCCGUUAACAUGUCCUACACCGAAUUAGCACACCGGGAUCUUCCACAGGCAGGCGCUGGCGUUACCAGUCCCAACAAGUGUCAGAUACAUUAAAUAGAUGGGGUAGAGGAUAUAGGAAGAUGUGGGAAUAGGAUGGGAAGAGGUUGAAAAUGAAGAGAUAGUAGAGAGGUUUCGAUUUUGUUGCUGAAACGAGAAAAAGAAUGAUAAAGAACAUUAGCGAUAUGUUCAUAGAUUAUGAUUUGGUCGAUAAUUUCUCAUCUAUUUUGUUUCCAUAUCGUUGCAUCGGUGAACAUUUUCAUCGCCUUUUCCGUUUUUGUUAGGGCCAUCUCGCGUUUUUGUCAUGUCCUCUUUGCCGGUUGGCGACGUUCGGGAUUGCUUCCAGCCCAUUUGUUCGCAGUACAUAUCAGGCAUCCCGUUUUAACAAGUCCUACCCAGAAUUAGAAACCCGGAUCUUCCACAGACAGUCCUAACUAGUGUCAGAUAAGUUCAAUUGAGGAUAUGAAGCGGCAAAAUGAGAAGACAGUAGAGAAGGUUUGGUUCAUUAGUAGCUGUGUUCAUGUGAUGUUUGUCUGAAAUUGAAAAACUAUUUUCCAUAAGUGUUCAACUCUCCACCCCAAAUUUAAUACCGGAAAAACAUCUGAUCAGAUGUAUAGUUUCGCAAUUCUAUGUCCACAUUGAAAUGCUUUUUUGUUAAUACAUCUUUUAUCAAGAAGGAAUAAUGUUAUUUACUGUUAUAAAAUAAUUCAGUUGAAGGGCAGCUAAUGUAUUGUAAUCCAGAAUAAACCUACAGAAAA